rnacentral:rRNA from 1 species
AUUGAACGCUGGCGGCAGGCUUAACACAUGCAAGUCGAGCGGGGUGAUGGUGCUUGCACUAUCACUUAGCGGCGGACGGGUGAGUAAUGCUUAGGGAUCUGCCUAUUAGUAGGGGACAACAUCUCGAAAGGGAUGCUAAUACCGCAUACGUCCUACGGGAGAAAGCAGGGGAUCACUUGUGACCUUGCGCUAAUAGAUGAGCCUAAGUCGGAUUAGCUAGUUGGUGGGGUAAAGGCCUACCAAGGCGAGGAUCUGUAGCGGGUCUGAGAGGAUGAUCCGCCACACUGGGACUGAGACACGGCCCAGACUCCUACGGGAGGCAGCAGUGGGGAAUAUUGGACAAUGGGGGGAACCCUGAUCCAGCCAUGCCGCGUGUGUGAAGAAGGCCUUAUGGUUGUAAAGCACUUUAAGCGAGGAGGAGGCUCUUUUGGUUAAUACCCAAGAUGAGUGGACGUUACUCGCAGAAUAAGCACCGGCUAACUCUGUGCCAGCCGCCGCAGUAA